CUCAAGUCACCAUGCCACUGUUGGGAGUUUCUGAUUCACUGGAUUUCAGUGGAAGGCAGGGACUUCUUGACCUACGCCUGAUUUACCUUUCCCCUACUUUCUCCGGACAACCUCAAGGGUCUCAACAGUGUGUCCUUGUGAUGAAACUCAGUACAGGGAGAGACAGGAUCCAUCCAGUAUUCAGAUAAAGACAAUUAAUGGAUCUAAAAGAUGUUUGAUAAUGUAAGAGGAAAGCAGACUCAUCAUGCUGGAAGACCAACUCGACCAGAGGAAGGGCAGGAAGGAGCGAGAAUUCUGGAGAAGGAACAGAAAAACUGAGAAGAUCCAAACAGCUGAACUCACUUCUGCUUGGGAAGCCCUCCAGGGAGGUAGAUCUGAGCUCACCUCUGAGCCUGGAGCCUCCUCCUGUGAAGCCAGACCUUAGGAUCCAGUGAAGACAAACCAGAGUGACUAGGACUUUGCCAGAAAGCUACUCACCACAAGGAGAUGCCUCUAAAUUUCUCUAGACAGCCUUGAAUUUGAUAUCAUAGCUAGGACAACUAGCAGUCAGGACUGCUUUCACAAUUGACCCCAGAGGGUCAGGCAGCCAAAGCCUGUCUGUCCUGUACUUUAUUUCAUCCAAGUCUCGGAGGGAACAGUAACCUGUGAUCUGAAGGCAACCCGAGUGGGGUUUACCAGGGAAAGAGAGAGGGAAAACCCAAUCUAUUCCCUCUCUUCAUCCCUUGGCUCCAUUCCAUCUCUACCACACUCUGGCAUAGAGUUCUAUGUUCUCUUUCUACACAAGGUUAUUUCUGGGUCGCUUUAGCUUUGUUCAGUGGAAAGAGUUCUGGGCCUAGAGUCAGGAAGAACUGGGUUCAAGUCAAACACUUCAUAGUUGUGUGACCCAAGGGAAAUCACAUUUGUUUGCCUUUAGUCACUGGAGAAGAAAAUGGCAAAAUAUUCUAGUAUCUUUGCCAAGCAUGGUCUGGUCCCCAGGCUCACAAAAGCUUCAAUAUGGUUGAACAACACAUAAUAAGCUUCAAAUUAAUCAGUUAUAAAGUGAAAACAAACAAACAAAUCAGUUAGUUUUAGGCACCAAAUAGCCAAUUUAAUAUAAAUUUUAACUUAGUUGAUUUUUUUUAAGCUGAGUUGAAUAAAUUGGCUCCUGGUGUUAAGCUUUCCUAGAAAUUAUGCAUGUAUAUUUAUAUCUUAUUUUUUAAACCUUUACCUUCUGUCUUAAAAUCAGUACUGUGUAUUGGUUCUAAUGCAGAAGAGCAGUAAGGGGUAGGCAAUGUGGGGGGGGGGGUAAAUGACUUGCCCAGGGACACACAGCUAAAAGUAUUUGCGGUCAAAUUUGAAUCCAGGACCUCUUGUCCUUAGGCUUGGCUCUCAAGCCACUGAGCCUCCUAGAUGUCCCCUAUAUUUAUACUUUUAUCUAAUUAUACUUUAGUGAACUAAUCCAUAGCCCACUGAAACAAGUGUCUGUUAUAUCUGUAUAUUGAGUAAUGGAACAAUAGAUGAUAGAUGAGAUAGCUAGAUAGGUAGCAUCAUCUUUUGGUUAUAUCUGUAUAUUGAUUUAUCAAUAGAUAAAUGAUAGAUGAGAUAGAUAUCUUCAACUUUUUUUUUUUAACCCUGGGGGUUGUGAGUUGCCCAGGGUCACACAGCUGAGAAGUGUCUGAGGUCAGAUUUGAAUCCAGGACCUCCCAUCUCUGGGCCUGACUCUCAAUCCACUAAACCACCUAGCGGCAUGCCCCCAUACCUUCAGUUUUUUUUUUUUUUAACCCUUACCUUCCAUCUUAGAAUCAAUAUUGGGUAUUGGUUCCAAGGCAGAGGAGUGGUAAGGGCUAGGUGUGAAUUUCAAAACUACUCCACCCUGUUCAGACCAUUCUUUGGAGGAUGGGAUUUAGCUAUUUCCUGAUCAAUGACAAUGGAGAUAUUUGGAGUACCAGAGUCAGGUCUUGGAAACUGCAAUCUCCACCCUACUCAGGUAGAGAUUAGGAAGAGCUACAGCAAAAAGCUCAAGAUUUAAUUAUUUGAGAAUAUGGCCCUCAACAGACAUGUGCAAAAAGGACAGACCUCUGGGCAGUCCUAGGUCAAGCUAGAGCCACCAUUGGCACUUGUGAGGCACAGGAAAUGAGGUAGGGAACAGCUUCUGGAAUUCGCUCACUUCCUGUGGACAGGGCGAGAGGCAGUUCCUCCGAGGAGCUUGAGCAGAGAGGAAGCCCACAGACAGCUUCUUUCAGAUCGGUCAUGUGAGUCAAGAACUUUACCUUGGCCUUCCAGGCCUAAAAACUCCCUCUGACUCUGUCAGAAGGUUGAGUUAACCUCUUUCCCUUUCCUCCUCUCUCCUUCUCUCCCUCUCCCUUUUCUUACUCCCAUUGUGAUUAAACCACCAUAAACUCCAUUCUGACUUGAGUGUUUCAUUUAGGGAAUUACAUAGCUGAUUUCCCU